GCCUACGGCCAUACCAAUCUGAAAGUGCAGAUCUCAGAAGUGCAGACUUGGGCCUGCUUAGUACUUGUAUGGGAGACCAACUAGGAACCUCAGGUGCGUAGCUU